GACAGAGGAGGCAAGCGUUGUUCGGAAUUAUUGGGCUUAAAGCGGGUGUAGGCGGCUCGGUAAGUGUUCUGUGAAAUCCCCCGGCUCAACCGGGGGAACUGCAGGGCAAACUGCCUGGCUUGAGGUCGGUAGAGGUGCCUGGAACUCUCGGUGGAGCGGUGAAAUGCGUAGAUAUCGAGAGGAAUGCCAGUGGCGAAAGCGGGGCACUGGGCCGAUUCUGACGCUGAGACCCGAAAGCGUGGGGAGCAAACAGGAUUAGAUACCCGAGUA
rnacentral:rRNA from 1 species